GACGAACGCUGGCGGCGUGCUUAACACAUGCAAGUCGAACAGAAAGGCCCUGCUUUUGUGGGGUGCUCGAGUGGCGAACGGGUGAGUAACACGUGAGUAACCUGCCCUUGACUUUGGGAUAACUUCAGGAAACUGGGGCUAAUACCGGAUAGGAGCUCCUGCUGCAUGGUGGGGGUUGGAAAGUUUCGGCGGUUGGGGAUGGACUCGCGGCUUAUCAGCUUGUUGGUGGGGUAGUGGCUUACCAAGGCUUUGACGGGUAGCCGGCCUGAGAGGGUGACCGGCCACAUUGGGACUGAGAUACGGCCCAGACUCCUACGGGAGGCAGCAGUGGGGAACAUUGCACAAUGGGCGGAAGCCUGAUGCAGCAACGCCGCGUGCGGGAUGACGGCCUUCGGGUUGUAAACCGCUUUCGCCUGUGACGAAGCGUGAGUGACGGUAAUGGGUAAAGAAGCACCGGCUAACUACGUG
rnacentral:rRNA from 1 species